AUUGAACGCUGGCGGAAUGCUUUACACAUGCAAGUCGAACGGCAGCACGGACUUCGGUCUGGUGGCGAGUGGCGAACGGGUGAGUAACAUAUCGGAACGUAUCCAAUAAUGGGGGAUAACUAAUCGAAAGGUUGGCUAAUACCGCAUACGCCCUACGGGGGAAAGCAGGGGAUCGUCGGACCUUGCGUUAAUGGAGCGGCUGAUAUCUGAUUAGCUAGUUGGUGGGGUAAAGGCUCACCAAGGCGACGAUCAGUAGCUGGUCUGAGAGGACGACCAGCCACACUGGAACUGAGACACGGUCCAGACUCCUACGGGAGGCAGCAGUGGGGAAUUUUGGACAAUGGGCGCAAGCCUGAUCCAGCCAUUCCGCGUGAGUGAAGAAGGCCUUCGGGCUGUAAAGCUCUUUCGCAAGGGAAGAAAACUUACUUUCUAAUAAAGAGUGAGGUUGACGGUACCUUGAUAAGAAGCACCGGCUAACUACGUGCCAGCCGCCGCGGUAA
rnacentral:rRNA from 1 species